GUUUCAACUAGUCGUCAACUUGGCUAGUUCUAAGAAAUGCAAGAUACAUGCCGAAAAUCUUGUUUGAAGAACUUCCACUUGUAAAUGUAUCUAUGCUAUCCAAAACGGAAAUAAUUUCAGACAGAUAUUUAUCCACUCUAUUUCAUGUCCAAAAGCAAAUAAUGUUCAGACAGAUUCAACCCUAAAUUUGUCAGAAACCAAGCUGGAAGCGCAAGCAUUUAUUUAUUGUUACUAAAUUUGUAGUGCAGAUUUUUUAUGAAGAUAUUUUCCAAUGCAGCAGAAGAAUCUAAUCUUUCCUCUUAAAGAAUGAUGCAGGAGAGCUUGAAGUGAAACCAGGGGACUUUCCUCUCCAGAAGUUAUUCAGUGAGAGAAGGGAUAGAAGUAAAAUGUGAAGAGAAAGGAUCCGGCAGUAUAUAAUGAUUUCUUUCAAGCAGAAAUCUAUAAAUCCAUGAAGAAGCAGAAGAAAAAGAAAAAGAAUGUCUAAACCCUAAUUGUGUUGAUCUAAUUGACAAAGAUUGGGUAAGUAAUUCUGAUUUUAAUGGCAAAUUGCGGAGAAUUUUUGGAGCGGUCUGCAAAAAUAGAGCAGGAUGUAAGUUUGAGUAAAAUUGAGAGAGGUGAAGCUCUAAUUGUCGGUGCGGGGCCCUCUGGAAUGGCUGUUGCAGCGUGCCUUUGGAAGCUUGGUGUUCGCAGUACUGUUUUAGAAAGAGAAUCCUGCGUGGCGUCUCUUUGGCAGCAAAGAACUUACGAUAGGCUCAAAUUGCACAUUGAUAAGAAGUUCUGCGAGUUGCCGUUCAUGUCGUUUCCGUCGCAGUUUCCUACUUUUGUCAGUAGAAGUCAGUUUGUUGAGUAUUUGGAAGAAUAUGCUAAAAGAUUUAGUAUCCAGCCACUUUUCUGUCAGACAGUUGAGUCUGCGAACUUCUGUGAGGAGACGGGAAAAUGGCGUGUUGUUGCUUACUGUUCUAUGGAGAGGCGUACAAAGAUUUAUAGCGGAAGGUUUUUAGUGGUUGCUACAGGCGAAAAUAGUGAGAAAUUCGUACCUGAUCUUCCUGGGAUCGAACGCUUUGAGGGAAUUGUUGUUCAUUCGAGUGAGUAUAAAAGCGGUGAGGAAUUUAACGGUAAAAAGGUUUUGGUUGUCGGAUGCGGGAAUUCUGGAAUGGAAAUAGCGCUGGAUCUCCUGGAUAAGGAUGCAAGUCCCUCAAUUGUUGUUCGCAGUCCGUUGCACGUUUUACCGCGAGAAAUCUUCGGUCUAUCAACAUUUUUUGUGUUCACAUUUUUACUGAAAAUUUUUCCUCUGCGGAUCGUGGAUCGUCUGCUCCUUCUAUACAGCAGAUUAACCCUGGGAGACACCACAGCAUGUGGAAUAGCUCGACCUAAGCAAGGACCUUUAGAACUCAAGCGCAAAAUAGGUAAAACCCCUGUCCUGGACGUCGGAACCAUGGCUAAAAUACGCAGCGGAGACAUCAAGACUUUUCCAAAAAUUAAGCGCGUGAUGGCCUUACAAGUUGAAUUUGAAGAUCACCGCGUAGAAAGUUUCAACGCCAUUAUCUUCGCGACUGGCUAUAGAAGCGGUAUAUUGCGUUGGCUCAAGAUUGAGGGUGAUUUUUUUGGUGACGAUGGAUUUCCAAGGAAAGCGUUUCCAAACAAUUGGAAGGAAAAAAAUGGUCUUUAUACGGUGGGUUUGGGGAGAAGAGGAUUGAUCGGAACUUCGAUGGAUGCUCGGCUCAUCGCUGAAGAUAUAAAGGCUUGCAUUACUUCAUCUUCACCCGCUAAUUAUGCUCUCCGGUCUAGUUUGUGCAUAUGAUUUGAUGUAAAGCGUCUUUUAGUUUAUGAAUAACUUAAGCAGUUUUAUCCCUUAUGUAACUUUUACCAAAAUAUUUCACCUGCACGUUAAUUAGCGUGGUUUGGUAAACAACUCCUUUUUCAGCGCGUGGUUUUAUGAUAUGAAAUGCGAAAGCGAAAAUUCCAUAUUGCGGCUUCUUGGCCCACCGAAUAUCAGGGAAUAAUGCAAUCUAGAAUGGUACAUAUGCUUGAUAUGAUGAUGCUCAUGUAUGGGAUGCAUUGCAAUAAUGAUAAGAUUUUGAUUUGUGAAUGUAUCUUGAAAAUGAGAUGUAUGAAAUGAAAAUGAUAA